UGUUCACUGUGUAACAGUGUUUAUAUGGUAUUAUUCCACUUGCCACAAAUAUCAGUGCAAUGGGGAAACAGCGCCCCCCCUCUCAGUGUGGCUGGUUAGGUGAGGCUGGCUGCAGUAAUCGCUGCCAGUCUGCCGUAGCCAUACGAGAGGUGAGUUGUAUUGUUCCGCACACGAUAUAGCCAAGUAGUACAGACACAUAAAACAUGUUUGAUUAGCUGAUGAGCACCGAGUGUAAUAAGUGCUUAGUGGACACAUGUCCAACACCAGUUUUAUGUACUUUUCAUUUGUUUAUUAAUGUGUGAAACUGUAUGCUAAAGCGGAAUGCUAAUGGAUGCUCUGCCGUAGUGUGCUGUGCGGAGUGGUGUGUGGCGAGCCAUUUGCACUGAUACAACACCGUUGUUUCCAUUCAGGAAAUAAAGUGGCAACGAUCGAUCAGAGACUCCUUGUCUUUUUAAAAACACAACACAACGCAGAGUCGAGGAGUCUGUUUGGGCCGAACUGUUGCAGCGGGAUGAAGCAGAAACCGGUUACAACUGCGUGGGAAGAAAACUUCUUUUUACCGUGAAAAAAACCCCCUAAACUUCCAAGCAAGCACCG
ensembl:lncRNA